AAAAAAACCCUAAAGAAGGGCAUUUUAGUCAUUUUGGAUGAUCUGCAACCUAAGAUAUUUCACUUAUAUGUUGUGGCCACGAUCUAGAGAGGAGAGGGAGAGAAAAAUUGAUGGCAAAGCCCUGCCAAAUUCACCAAAAACGCAGCCUGCAAACUCUGUUCUCUAAGUGAGAUCAGUGUCAAGUUGAGGUUUUGGAGAGGAGUUUACGGCCAGAUACUUAAGAUUUAAGCAAAGAGUCUUAGCUGGAGCGAUAGAUCUCGUUUCAAGGAGAACACAGCAACUUUCGUAUCUCAGUUACGAGAGCCAUAUUGUGGGGCAAUUUCCGGUUGAUACAGAAGGAUCUAGGUGACGGUAUUGUUAUGGUUGGAAAGCUGACAUUCCCAGCUUUUUACAGCCACCACGACCACGCAUUUACGAGUGUCACAUAGGGGUUUUGUGAGAAGAUUUCCCGGUGAACCAGAGAGAGUUAGAAAGCGAGAAAGAUAUCUCUGGAAAGCUCUUGUUUCGAGGAAUCUGUAUCAGUUGACGGUUUCUUGUUUAGAGUUUCAGAUCGCUAUGACAGUAUUUCAAUCGCUAUAUUCAGAAUUUACUUUCAACCUUAGGGCAAAGGUGAGGAGUGAAGGUUCACAACGAGUCUUGUCGGAUGCUGGUUUUAAAAAUGAGUUUUACUUAUGUUUUAUUUCAGAUAUAACUACGUUGGUUUGACUUUGCGAAUUAUGCGGUUUAUGAUUUCAUGUUAAGAUGUUUCUUUAAGAAUAAAGAUGGAUUUUUAUGAAAUAUAUUUAUU